rnacentral:rRNA from 1 species
GACGAACGCUGGCGGCGUGCUUAACACAUGCAAGUCGAACGGAAAGGCCCUGCUCUUGUGGGGUGCUCGAGUGGCGAACGGGUGAGUAACACGUGAGUAACCUGCCCUUGACUUUGGGAUAACUUCAGGAAACUGGGGCUAAUACCGGAUAGGAGCUCCUGCUGCAUGGUGGGGGUUGGAAAGUUUCGGCGGUUGGGGAUGGACUCGCGGCUUAUCAGCUUGUUGGUGGGGUAGUGGCUUACCAAGGCUUUGACGGGUAGCCGGCCUGAGAGGGUGACCGGCCACAUUGGGACUGCGAUACGGCCCAGACUCCUACGGGAGGCAGCAGUGGGGAGUAUUGCACAAUGGGGGGAAGCCUGAUGCAGCAACGCCGCGUGCGGGAUGACGGCCUUCGGGUUGUAAACCGCUUUCGCCUGUGACGAAGCGUGAGUGACGGUAAUGGGUAAAGAAGCACCGGCUAACUACGUG